GUGUCAGCAGCCGCGGUAACACGUAGGUGUCGAGCGUUAUCCGGAAUUACUGGGCGUAAAGCGCACGCAGGCGGCUCUGCAAGUCUCGUGUGAAAGCUCUCGGCUCAACCGGGAGAGGUCGCGGGAAACUGCAGGGCUUGAGGCAGGGAGAGGGGCGUGGAAUUCCCGGUGUAGCGGUGGAAUGCGUAGAUAUCGGGAGGAACACCAGUGGCGAAGGCGGCGCCCUGGCCCUGGCCUGACGCUCAGGUGCGAAAGCGUGGGGAGCGAACGGGAUUAGAUACCCCGGUAGUCCACGCUGUAAACGAUGCGAACUAGGUGUGGGCAGUAUUGACCCUGUCCGUGCCGUAGCUAACGCGCUAAGUUCGCCGCCUGGGGAGUACGGCCGCAAGGCUAAAACUCAAAGGAAUUGGCGGGG
rnacentral:rRNA from 1 species